UACGUAGGGGGCAAGCGUUGUCCGGAUUUAUUGGGCGUAAAGAGCGUGUAGGCGGCCAGUCAGGUCCGUUGUGAAAACUCGAGGCUCAACCUCGAGACGUCGGUUGAAACCACCUGGCUAGAGUCCGGAAGAGGAGAGUGGAAUUCCUGGUGUAGCGGUGAAAUGCGCAGAUAUCAGGAAGAACACCCGUGGCGAAGGCGGCUCUCUGGGACGGUACUGACGCUGAGACGCGAAAGCGUGGGGAGCGAACAGG
rnacentral:rRNA from 1 species